rnacentral:rRNA from 1 species
CCCUUAGAUGUUCUGGGCCGCACGCGCGUUACACUGAUGCAUUCAACGAGUUCUUCCUUGGCCGAGAGGCCUGGGCAAUCUUUUGAACGUGCAUCGUGAUAGGGAUAGAUUAUUGCAAUUUUUGGUCUUCAACGAGGAAUUCCUAGUAAACGCAAGUCAUCAACUUGCAUUGAUUACGUCCCUGCCCUUUGUACACACCGCCCGUCGCACCUACCGAUUGAAUGGUCCGGUGAAGCCUCCGGAUUGGCGCGCACCUCGGUGCCGCCGAGAAGUUGGCUAAACCUUACCAUUUAGAGGAAGGUGAAGUCGUAACG